AGAAGUCAUUGUAGCUCUGACUUUAUAGUUGUAUGUUGUGGGUUUGAUCAGAGACAAUCCAUCAGAUGUAGCUUUUUAUCAGACAAAAGCUUGAUCUAUGAAGUACUCGACAAAAUGAGCUUUGUGGCCUGACUUAAAGAUCUUUUUAAACCGGAGAAGAUUUAUGUUUUACUUAUCAUGUUUCACUGUCUUGAGAUUAUCACUGAUGUGGAGAAGUGAUGAUGAAGCAUAAUAGCUCAAAGAAGGUAUUUCAUUUAAGUGCAAGCUCAGGGUUGACUUGAGAUAGUGUGGUUCAUUUGUCUUGAGAUAACUCUUUGAAUAUUCAUGUCUAGAUGCGCUUCCUUCUUUAACCGUUUUGUCCUUGUUGUGCCAAGGCAUCAGAUGAAGCAAGUCUUUCAUUUCUUAUUGAUCAGUUGUGUCUUGGGGUGUUUGAUAUCCGUUGAAGCUAACUCUCACCUGGAAAACAUCCAAUCUCAUCAAUUCAACACAGCCUUUGCUCAACCUCCUUCUCCCUCAACCUCCUUCUCUCACCUCAAAUUAAUUCAAGACAGCCCUUGUCAUGAAUAAAAGGAAAUACGCUUUACUCUCAUAUUCCCCUUCUUCAUCCAAGGCCCCUUCAUCGGCGGCGCAAACAGAGUUAAUUGCUUCAUCGGCGGCGAAAACAGAGUUAAUUGCUUCAUCGGCGGCUUCUUCAUCGACCCCUCCUUCAACGACAAGAUACAAGAUGAACCAAAACAAGAAAGCAACCUCUAUUGGCUGGUCGCUCGAUCAUGACAAAAUUCUUUUAAGAAUUUUCAUAAAAAUGAAAAAUUCUAUUGGUCAGUUUGCCGAUACUAGCCUGGAUGAUAAAAAUACAUGAGAAUUGGCCACCGGAUAUUUUAAUGAAUUAAGCAUUGGCCUAUGCUUUACCAACUCUACAACCAAAACACUGAAAGAGGUUAUUCAAAGACUCAGGUUUUUGAAAGGAAAAAUAAAGCAUUAUAAAAAGGUAAGUGUAAGUUUCUAUUCUUCUUCUUUCCUUCAUGACACACUACACGCUACACACUAAACAAUGUUUUCUUUUUGAAAUGUUGGUCACUUAAAAUUUUAUUUUUUGUUUUAUUCGAUCAGAAAUCAAUAGAAAUAGGAGUAGCUGCUUCCGUUCUAUGGCCCCCAAUGGACAAGGCCACCAUGCUAUUUGAAACUUUGAAUUUGGUUAUUCCAAAUUUUCCUGGCAGUCCCGAACCGAGCAAUCCUAGAACUUCCACUGAUCCUUCUGCGCAAGAUGGAUGUGCAUCUGGUUCCACUAGGACAGGAGAUAACCAUGUUGAAUUUGUGAAGCUUGUUCGGAUAUCAGUAAAGAGGAAGUCUAAUUUUUUUUUCUGCUUUGUUUUCUAUUGUAGAUCACACCAUAGAGGGAGCAUGCUUUGGUGAUUGUAUUUGUUCAAUCUCGUUGUGUCAAUUGUCUACCUCGUUUGGUAAAACUUGUCAUAUUAACUAUCUUUUCCAGCUACAUCUUGUUAUGA